rnacentral:rRNA from 1 species
UACAGAGGUCUCAAGCGUUGUUCGGAUUCAUUGGGCGUAAAGGGUGCGUAGGCGGCGCGGUAAGUCGGGUGUGAAAUCUUGGAGCUUAACUCCGAAACUGCCGUGGAUACUAUUAGUCUUGAAUCUCGUGGAGGUAAGCGGAAUAUGUCAUGUAGCGGUGAAAUGCUUAGAUAUGACAUAGAACACCGAUAGCGAAGGCAGCUUGCUACACGAGUAUUGACACUGAGGCACGAAAGCGUGGGGAUCAAACAGG